CCUACGGGAGGCAGCAGUGAGGAAUAUUGGUCAAUGGGCGGAAGCCUGAACCAGCCAAGUAGCGUGCGGGAUGAAGGCCCUACGGGUCGUAAACCGCUUUUGCCCGGGGAUAACACCCUCCACUUGUGGCGGUCUGCAGGUACCGUGCGAAUAAGGGCCGGCUAAGUCCGUGCCAGCAGCCGCGGUAAUACGGAAGGGCCGAGCGUUAUCCGGAUUUAUUGGGCUUAAAGGGAGCGUAGGCGGGCGUUCAAGUCAGCUGUAAAAGCGCGCGGCUCAACCGCGCCCCGCAGUUGAAACUGGACGUCGUGAGGUGACAAGAGGCAGGCGGAAUUCGGGGGGUAGCGGUGAAAUGCAUAGAUAUCGCGAAGAACCCCGAUUGCGAAGGCAGCCUGCCGGGGUGCGACUGACGCUGAGGCUCGAAGGUGCGGGUAUCGAACAGGAUUAGAUACCCGGGUAGUC
rnacentral:rRNA from 1 species